ACCUAGAAAGGAGGUGGAUUUUCAUUGUUUUUGGUUAUCUUAUCUCCGUAUCUUGAUGACUGAUGGCAAUUCCCUUUUUUAGAUUAAGCAUUCAAAAUUUGUUAUGUUUGGGUAGUGUGUUUGGAUGUACAUUUGCUGUCUUUAUUGGAGAUAGAGGUUUUAGGACUUAGGUUUUUAAUUGUGGAAAGGACUAUUUUUCAAAUGAUUGAGCUUGGUGUUAAACUUGGAAUGUGAUUGCUUCUCUAGUAUUUUGUUUCAGUUUUAGAUUAUGAUAUGUGGGAUUAUCAUAUAUUUUGCUAGUGUCUGAGCUUUUUUUAAGCUUUGUUUCCGUACUCGUAGGAACCAUUUCUGCCUGUUUAUAGCUGCAAACUAGUCUCUAUUUUCUUUCCAGAUAUUUGUUAUUCUUGCAUUUCAAUCUGCAAAUCUAACACAAACUUUUACGUGUCCAAAUAAACAUGGAAUAUGCAUUCCAGCAUUCUAUGGUGGUCUAUAACAUGAAAUUCUUAUAACCAUUUUUCAUAAGAUUAAAAUAAUAUAAUUGAAUGGGAAGAAGAACUUCCUUAUACAAGUGGUAUAAAAUAGUGGAGAAUGGAAUAAAUACGAUUCUGUACUAAAGACACUUAGUCUUGUAUACAAAUUGGAAUCUUGUCGGUGCACCCAACGGUGAAGGGGGUUCAAAAUUUAAAGAAAUAAAUACAAGUAAAGCCAAGGGAAUUCAACAUAUAUUAUAAAUGCAUAGAAAAAUUAUUUAUGCAUUCAUCCGUACCCCUUUGCCCUAGCUCCGCCUGUGGGUGCACUAAAAGAGACAAGGACAAAGAGGCUUUCCUCAAAAAAUGUAAAAUAUCAUUUUUUUAUCCUUCAAAGGCACUCCUAUUUUUAUCUUCCAUACAAUCCACAUGGGUGCUAGUGGAGUAAUAUCCCACUUCUUUAGUCUUCUCCUCAUUCUUCUGAAUGUUCAGUUGAAUAGUGCCGCCUUCUUGGUGCAUUGCAUCACCUAUUGAAGUGCAAACUAACAAACCAUUUAAUGAUUUCCCAUGCGUGAGAUACUACUUGACAAUGUAAAAAGAAGUGGUUCAUGUCUUCACCAAACUCUUCCAUAAGACCAAUUGGUAUAUGCAAUUUCUCUUCUUCCUUAAGUUUUUAGUUGUUAAAUCACUCCCCUUGCUGAAAGUCUUAAGAAACUUGUGUCUAAGUUGGUGGAUGCCCAACAAAUGACAUUCAUGAAAGGUACACGACUUACGGAUGCCAUUUUAAUAGCAAAUGAAUAUGUGGAUGUGAGGAAGAUUUCCAAUGUCCCUGAAAUUCUAUGCAAGUUAGAUAUAGAAAAGGCUUAUGAUAACUUAAAUUGAGGAUUCCUAUGGAGGACAUGGGAGAGGCUGCGGUUUGAUAGCAGACUAAUGGAUAAAGUUUUGUUCUGGUACAAUAAAGUUCUCUGUCCUGAUAAUGGUUCCUUCUUGUCUCCCUUCUUUAGCUAAUGAUGAAGCAAAUCCCUAAAGUCAAAGUAGUCCAUGAAAGCAUCUAUUUUUUCCGUUCAAGAAAUUGCUUAUGUAAAGAUGGGGUGAGUCCCAUGUUAACUAAUCGAUUACGAUAAAUUGGAUGGCUCACCCUCUGGUUUCUUCUCUUCUAAGAGAGGAUUGAGACAAGGGAGCCCCCUAUACCCUUUUCUCUUCAUUCUGUCCAUGAAGGGACUCAGUGAUAAGUUGAGAACAUCCAAGUAUAAUGAUAUGCUCAGGUGAUUCAAGGUUAAUCCUGGAGACAAUCAAGGGCUAUCAAUUUCUCACCUUCCAUAUACAGAUGAUACACUAGUGUUUUGUGAUGCAGAGAGUGAUCAAUUGAAAUAAUUGAGAGAUAUUUUAUUCUGUUUGAAGCUAUUGUGGGACUUCACAUCAAUUGGGGGAAGAGUUUUGUUUAUCCAGUAAAUGAGGUGCCAAGAAUCAAUAUUUUGGCCAACAUAUAGGGUGGCGGAAUAGGAGAACUGCCUACUACUUAUCUUGGUAUGCCCUUGGUGCUAAGAGUAAAUCAAAGUUUUGGAAUGUUGUACUGGAGAAAUGUGAAAAGAAACUUGUUAAUUGGAAGAGUAGAUUGACUUUAAUUAACAGUGUAUUAGAUGCCAUGCCAACUUCUAUAUGAUGUCCUUAUUCCCUAUGCCAGUGAAUGUUAUCAAGAAACUGGAUGCAAUUAGAAGGGAUUUUCUCUGGCAAUUGUGAGACCAAGAAGAUAUACUUGGUAAAAUGGGAUACAGGUAUAACCACAAGAAGGAAGGUGGAAUAGGAAUAAAGAACCCGAGGACAAAAUCAUAGCCUCCCACUGAAAUGGCUUUGGAGAUUUGCAACAGAUGGACAUUCAUCGUAGAAAGAAACUAUCUUGACAAGGUAUGGGAUGGAAGAGCACUUGAUUACUGUUAGCACCCCUUUAGUCUACCAACGGUUUACACAUGGGAGAUUUAAGGAAAUUAGAAAGUAGAUUACUUUAGCUUAUAAGUUAUUUUACUACAGCUUUUAAGUAUUUAUGUUUUUAUUUUCUGUGUAGCAGUUAUUGCAGUAAGGAGGUUACUCCUCCACUUUCUCAUUCAGUUGUAGUAGGCAGUAGGCAGUUACUUUCUUUGUUUCAGUGUUUAUUUUGGGAAUU